rnacentral:rRNA from 1 species
AUGCAGUCGAGCGGGGGAGAUUGCUUCGGUAAUUGACCUAGCGGCGGACGGGUGAGUAAUACUUAGGAAUCUGCCUAUUAAUGGGGGACAACAUCUCGAAAGGGAUGCUAAUACCGCAUACGCCCUACGGGGGAAAGCAGGGGAUCACUUGUGACCUUGCGUUAAUAGAUGAGCCUAAGUCGGAUUAGCUAGUUGGUGGGGUAAAGGCCUACCAAGGCGACGAUCUGUAGCGGGUCUGAGAGGAUGAUCCGCCACACUGGGACUGAGACACGGCCCAGACUCCUACGGGAGGCAGCAGUGGGGAAUAUUGGACAAUGGGGGGAACCCUGAUCCAGCCAUGCCGCGUGUGUGAAGAAGGCCUUAUGGUUGUAAAGCACUUUAAGCGAGGAGGAGGCUCUUUUGGUUAAUACCCAAGAUGAGUGGACGUUACUCGCAGAAUAAGCACCGGCUAACUCUGUGCCAGCAGCCGCGGUAAUACAGAGGGUGCGAGCGUUAAUCGGAUUUACUGGGCGUAAAGCGUGCGUAGGCGGCUUUUUAAGUCGGAUGUGAAAUCCCCGAGCUUAACUUGGGAAUUGCAUUCGAUACUGGGAAGCUAGAGUAUGGGAGAGGAUGGUAGAAUUCCAGGUGUAGCGGUGAAAUGCGUAGAGAUCUGGAGGAAUACCGAUGGCGAAGGCAGCCAUCUGGCCUAAUACUGACGCUGAGGUACGAAAGCAUGGGGAGCAAACAGGAUUAGAUACCCUGGUAGUCCAUGCCGUAAACGAUGUCUACUAGCCGUUGGGGUCUUUGAGACUUUAGUGGCGCAGCUAACGCGAUAAGUAGACCGCCUGGGGAGUACGGUCGCAAGACUAAAACUCAAAUGAAUUGACGGGGGCCCGCACAAGCGGUGGAGCAUGUGGUUUAAUUCGAUGCAACGCGAAGAACCUUACCUGGUCUUGACAUAGUAAGAACUUUCCAGAGAUGGAUUGGUGCCUUCGGGAACUUACAUACAGGUGCUGCAUGGCUGUCGUCAGCUC